CCUACGGGAGGCAGCAGUGGGGAAUAUUGCACAAUGGGCGAAAGCCUGAUGCAGCGACGCCGCGUGAGGGAUGACGGCCUUCGGGUUGUAAACCUCUUUCGACAGGGACGAAGCGCAAGUGACGGUACCUGUAGAAGAAGCACCGGCCAACUACGUGCCAGCAGCCGCGGUAAU
rnacentral:rRNA from 1 species